AAGUGGAAUUCCCCAGUGUAGCGGUGAAAUGCGUAGAGAUUGGGAGGAACACCAGUGGCGAAGGCGACUUACUGGACUGUAACUGACGCUGAGGCGCGAAAGUGUGGGGAGCAAACAGGAUUAGAUACCCUGGUAGUCCACACUGUAAACGAUGAAUGCUAGGUGUAGGGGGUAUCGACCCCUUCUGUGCCGCAGUUAACACAAUAAGCAUUCCGCCUGGGGAGUACGGCCGCAAGGUUGAAACUCAAAGGAAUUGACGGGGGCCCGCACAAGCAGCGGAGCAUGUGGUUUAAUUCGACGCAACGCGAAGAACCUUACCAGGUCUUGACAUCCAGUAAAUCCUGUAGAGAUACAGAGUGUCUUCGGACAUACUGAGACAGGUGGUGCAUGGUUGUCGUCAGCUCGUGUCGUGAGAUGUUGGGUUAAGUCCCGCAACGAGCGCAACCCUUACCUUUAGUUACUAACGCGUAGAGGCGAGGACUCUAGAGGGACUGCCGGGGACAACUCGGAGGAAGGUGGGGACGACGUCAAAUCAUCAUGCCCCUUAUGACCUGGGCUACACACGUGCUACAAUGGCCACCACAGAGAGAAGCGAUCCUGCGAGGGGGAGCGGAACUCAAAAAAGUGGUCCCAGUUCGGAUUGUGGGCUGCAACCCGCCCACAUGAAGUCGGAGUUGCUAGUAAUCGCGAGAUCAGCAUGCCGCGGGAAUACGUCCCGUU
rnacentral:rRNA from 1 species